rnacentral:rRNA from 1 species
UACGGGGGGGGCAAGCGUUGUUCGGAAUUACUGGGCGUAAAGGGCUCGUAGGCGGCCAACUAAGUCAGACGUGAAAUCCCUCGGCUUAACCGGGGAACUGCAUCUGAUACUGGAUGGCUUGAGUUCGGGAGAGGGAUGCGGAAUUCCAGGUGUAGCGGUGAAAUGCGUAGAUAUCUGGAGGAACACCGGUGGCGAAGGCGGCAUCCUGGGCAACAACUGACGCUGAGGAGCGAAAGCGUGGGGAGCGAACAGG